rnacentral:rRNA from 1 species
CGACCGGCGCACGGGUGAGUAACGCGUAUGCAACCUACCUAUCAGAGGGGAAUAACCCGGCGAAAGUCGGACUAAUACCGCAUAAAACAGGGGUUCCACAUGGAAAUAUUUGUUAAAGAAUUAUCGCUGAUAGAUGGGCAUGCGUUCCAUUAGAUAGUUGGUGAGGUAACGGCUCACCAAGUCCACGAUGGAUAGGGGUUCUGAGAGGAAGGUCCCCCACACUGGUACUGAGACACGGUCCAA